AACGCACCUUGCGCUCCUUGGUAUUCCUCGGAGCACGCCUGUUUGAGUAUCAUGAAAUUCUCAAAGCAAGUCUUUUGUUGAUUCAACUGGCUUUUGUUUUGGAUUUGGAGGUUUUGCAGAUUCACGUCUGCUCCUCUUAAAUGCAUUAGCUGGAUCUCUAUAAAACCGGUUCCACUCGGCGUGAUAAGUAUCACUCGCUGAGGACACUCUUGAAAAAGGGUGGCCGGAUUCAUGGAUGAACCGCUUCUAACGGUCUAUUAGAUUAGACAAACACACUUUAUGAUCUGAUCUCAAAUCAGGUGGGACUACCCGCUGAACUUAA
rnacentral:misc_RNA from 1 species